rnacentral:rRNA from 1 species
GACGAACGCUGGCGGCGUGCUUAACACAUGCAAGUCGAACGGAAAGGCCCUGCUUUUGUGGGGUGCUCGAGUGGCGAACGGGUGAGUAACACGUGAGUAACCUGCCCUUCACUUUGGGAUAACUUCAGGAAACUGGGGCUAAUACCGGAUCGGAGCUCCUGCUGCAUGGUGGGGGUUGGAACGUUUCGGCGGUUGGGGAUGGACUCGCGGCUUAUCAGCUUGCUGGUGGGGUAGUGGCUUACCAAGGCUUUGACGGGUAGCCGGCCUGAGAGGGUGACCGGCCACAUUGGGACUGAGGUACGGCCCAGACUCCUACGGUAGGCAGCAGGGGGAAAUAUUGCCCAGUGGGCGGGAGCCUGAUGCAGCAACGCCGCGGGCGUGAUGACGGCCUUCGGGUUGUAAACCGCUUUCGCCUGUGACGAAGCGGGAGUGACGGUAAUGAGUAAAGAAGCACCGGCUAACUACGUG